CAUAGACGCUUAAAUCUUAUCAAAAGAUAUUGCUUUAUCUCUUUUUCUUCGAUCUUAUAUGUAAAUUUCUUAAAAUUGGCUCUCUUUCGUGACAGAUGAACUGUUGAUUUUAAAUCCCCCUUCAGAUAUAUUUGGAAUCCUGUUCGUUGAUUUGCUACUCAAAAUGAUCAUUAUGUUAGAGAUGCUACUUUUUUCCUUUCUAUUCAGAUAUUUCCUGUGAGACUCCACCCGAAGUGAAAAAUGCUAUUAUACUAAAUAAGAAGUCUAGUUAUCUACCUGGUGAGAGUGCCCGUUAUGAAUGCGUCAAACCUUUUGAUCUGUUUGGGGAAGUAGAAGUGAUAUGUUUAAAUGGGACCUGGACACAACCCCCUCAGUGUGCAGAUUCUAGAGGAAAAUGUGGGCCUCCUCCACCUAUUGACAAUGGAGACAUUACCUCAUUCCCAUCAUCAACAUAUGCUCCGGGAUCAUCAGUAGAGUACAAAUGCCAGUCCUUCUAUGUACUUCAGGGACAGAGGACCAUAAGAUGUAGACAUGGACAGUGGUCACCACCACCAAAAUGCUUAGGUAAAUAUUUCAAUAUUCUCAUGGAUCCUGGGAAAAUCAGUAUAAUAGAUGUUUUGCUUAUUAAAAGAAUGUUCAUGGAUUAACAAACAUUUGUGGAAUGCUGACUACCAAAUACUAAUGUGUGAAGAAAAAAAAGCUGGGAAAAAAACUCUUGUUCUAGCAAAAUAUCCUUUAAUGAAAGGACUUGAUUUCUUCAUGUUAAAAUUGACAUUAUGAAUCCUUGAUUAUAACAUUUAAUGAUGUUAUAAUCUUAAACAUAGUACCUCAUGUUACAUCAUUAACCAUUUAAAGUGAUUUAAGUCGA